rnacentral:rRNA from 1 species
UACGAGGGGGGCUAGUGUUGUUCGGAAUCACUGGGCGUAAAGGGAGCGUAGGCGGGUGUCUAAGUUGGGUGUUUAAUUCCGGGGCCCAACCCCGGGCGUGCACUCAAAACUGGGCAUCUUGAAUAGGGGAGAGGUCGGUGGAAUUGGAGGUGUAGCGGUGGAAUGCGUAGAGAUCUCCAAGAACACCAGUUGCGAAGGCGGCCGACUGGACCCAUAUUGACGCUGAGGCUCGAAAGCAUGGGGAGCAAACAGG